UUAGAUACCCUAUUAUACUAAUAAUAACUCAGAUUACUAGUAGCUAUAUACUUAAAAUUCAAAGAAUUUGGCGGUGAUUUAGUCUUGUUAGAGGAACCUGUUUUGUAAUCGAUACACCACGUAAAAUCUUACUUAUUAAUAUAGUUUAUAUACCGUCAUUAUCAGAUAAUUUUUUUUUUUAAAAACUAAUUAUUAAGGUUUAAAUAAAAAAUAAGUAAAAUUAGAUCAAGGUGUAGCUAAUAAAUAAGUUAAAAUGGGUUACAAUAAAAUUUAUUUACUACGGAAUGAUAUAAGGAAGAAUAUUUAUGAAGGAGGAUUUAAUUGUAAUAGAAGUUUAAUAAGAUUUCGAGAGAUAAGCUCUAAAUUAUGUACAUAUCGCCCGUCGCU
rnacentral:rRNA from 1 species